rnacentral:rRNA from 1 species
UACGAAGGGGGGCUAGCGUUGUUCGGAAUUACUGGGCGUAAAGCGCGCGCAGGCGGCUCUUCAAGUCAGGGGUGAAAGCCCAGAGCUCAACUCCGGAACUGCCAUUGAAACUGUGGAACUUGAGGAUGAGAGAGGUGAGUGGAAUUCCCAGUGUAGAGGUGAAAUUCGUAGAUAUUGGGAAGAACACCGGUGGCGAAGGCGGCUCACUGGCUCAUUUCUGACGCUCAGGCGCGACAGCGUGGGGAUCAAACAGG